CUCCCUCCCUUCCCUUUUCUCCUGGGAAACACCCCCCUCGUGAAAACCCUCGUCGUCGCCCCCCUCACGAAUCUCGCCAGCCAUGAAGUUGAUUGACGUCGUGAGUCCGCCGUCGCCCAACCCUGUUUGAUUUGAGGUCAAGCUUUGCCUCGUCCAAGAUCUCUGUCAUUGCUCGUCGUCGAUCUCGACCAGUCGGCCAACCGUGUCUAUCCAAGCGCCACCCUACUCGUUCAGUCGCCCCGCCGUUGUCGAGGUCCGAUCGCACUACAGCCGAGUUUUAGAUCGGCUUGUUCCGAUCGUGAUUUUUCUGACUUCACCUUUGUCCGUUCUAGCUCUGCCACCAGCCGUCAACGCCAUUCCUUUGGGUUUCACCAGAUUUGAGUUUUGGAGUAAGAUCUAAAUGAUUUUCAUGGGUUUGUUGAGGAUCUUGAAUACCCAAUAAAUAAUGUGUUUAAUUAUCACUUCAAUCAGGAUUUUGGAGGUUGGACUUGAUAGUUUGAAGGAGUUUAAGUGACUUUUGGCAUGUUGGCGAGCAAAGUUAAAGUGAUUUCGGCAAGGAUUUUGGCUUGAUUAAGGAUUCAAGAAUUUCACAAAGAUUCAAUUGCUUUAUGAUUCGACCUAAUAUCAAGGUAAAGGUAGAGAUGCACCAGCGACUGACAAGAGGAAUCCUCGAUCGAGCCACCGGGGACUAGUUUACAUGCUUCCGCUCAUAUUUUAAUAUUUCUAUUAUGUUUUACAUUUUCAAUUUUAAGUUUCGAGACUACUAUUUCAGUUUUAUUUUUUAGACUUAUCUCUUUUCAUGAUUUAUGGGUACCCUAUCCUUUGACUUUAAGUAUUUGAAAUUAAUGCAAAUCUUUCUAGUUAUCUCA